GCCCCGGUAGCUCAACGGACAGAGCAUCCGCCUCCUAAGCGGGUGGUUGCAGGUUCGACUCCUGCCCGGGGUA
rnacentral:tRNA from 1 species